rnacentral:rRNA from 1 species
UACGUAGGUGGCGAGCGUUGUCCGGAUUUACUGGGCGUAAAGAGCGCGCAGGCGGUCGUACAAGUCGCGUGUGAAAGCCCCCGGCUCAACUGGGGAGGGUCACGCGAUACUGUUCGACUCGAAGGCAGGAGAGGGAAGUGGAAUUCCCGGUGUAGUGGUGAAAUGCGCAGAUAUCAGGAGGAACACCCGUGGCGAAGGCGGUUCUCUGGGACGGUACUGACGCUGAGACGCGAAAGCGUGGGGAGCGAACAGG